AGAAAAUCAAACUCCUGAUUUGCAGUCUUCUUCCCCGAUUCUCAUAAACAAUGUUGCUGAUUCCCUUUCUCUUAUUGCUCUCUUCGUUAUGGUUAAUCAUCAAGAAGUUAACCACGAAAAGGGUAAUCUUCCAAGCCCCCCAAGCUUCCUUCUGGGUAACUUGCAUCAACUCGGUGCAUUCCCACACGUCAACAUGGAAACUCUCCAAGAAAUACGGCCGGCUGCUUCUUCAACUUGGUUCGACGCCGACCGUCUUCGUAUCGUCGUCCAUCACCGCGAAGAGAUAUUGAAAACUCACGACUUCGAAUGUUGCAAUCGACCUCCAUUAACUGGCCCUAAAAGGCUUACUUAAAUUCCAAGACAUUGCUUCGCACCCUACGGACAUUACUGGAGAGAGAGCGAAAACUAUGUGUUACUGAGCUUUUCAGCAUGAAAAGGGUGCAAUCUUUUAAAUCGUAGGAAGAAGAGGUCGAUUCGUUAAUCAAAUCGAUCUCGGAGUCGGCUACAUUAGCUAAUCCAGUCGAUCUCAGCAAAGCUUCCUUUUCGCUCACGGCUAGCAAUCUUUAGAAUUGCUUUCGGGAAAAGAUUUCAGGGGAGUGAACUGAUAACGAUAAGCUACAGAAACUGGUAUUUGAGGUUGAAAAUAUGGGGAGCUUUUGCUUCGGUUUCUCCCAUAUGUGGGAAAAGUGGUUGACUGUUUACUGAUCUCCAUAGAAGGCUGAAGAUAGCUUUCGUGAACUUGAUGCUGUUUUCCAGCAGGUUAUCGAUGAACAUCUCGAAUCUGGAACGGUUGUGCACAACGAAGAUGACAUGGUCAAUGUACUGUUGAGAAUGGAGAAAGAUCAAACCGAGAAUAGUGCUAUUCAUCUUACCAGAGAUCAUAUCAGGCAAUCCUCAUGGAUAUAUUCGUAGCUGGAAUCGACACAAGUGCUAUUACCAUGAUCUGGGCAUGACAGAGCUAGCAAGGAAUCCAACAGCGAUGAAGAAAGCACAAAAUGAGAUUAGAACUCGCGUUGGGAAGAAAGGAAACUAACAGAAAAUGAUGUCAGUGACUUAAAUACCUCAACAUGAUCAUUAAAGAAACUUUCAGAUUACAUCUUCCAACUGUACUUCUUCUUCCAAGGGAAACUGCGUCCCAAAUAAGGAUCGGAGAUUAUGAUAUAUACCCGAAGAC